GCAACUCCAAUANNNCUAGGACUACGANAGACCUUUAAACCCAAAGAACUUGGCGGCAUUCACACCCAAUCAGGGGAGCCUGUCCUAGAACUGAUACCCACAACUAACCCUACUUGCCCUCGCCCCCAGCCUGUAUACCGCCGUCGACAGCCCACCUACAAAAGAAAUAGUAUGCUCCAAGGGAAACCCCCCUCACGUCAGGUCAAGGUGCAGCCAAUGAGCAAGAAGAGAUGGGCUACAAUAACAAACAAAUCCCAACCUCCGAAUGAAAAAAGAGCAAAGAAGGACUUGAAAGUAAUAGGGCCAAGUGCCCUAUGAACCGGCAUAA
rnacentral:rRNA from 1 species